GACGAACGCUGGCGGCGUGCUUAACACAUGCAAGUCGAACGGAAAGGCCCUGCUUUUGUGGGGUGCUCGAGUGGCGAACGGGUGAGUAACACGUGAGUAACCUGCCCUUGACUUUGGGAUAACUUCAGGAAACUGGGGCUAAUACCGGAUAGGAGCUCCUGCUGCAUGGGGGGGGGUGGAAAGUUUCGGCGGUUGGGGAUGGACUCGCGGCUUAUCAGCUUGUUGGUGGGGUAGUGGCUUACCAAGGCUUUGACGGGUAGCCGGCCUGAGAGGGUGACCGGCCACAUUGGGACUGAGAUACGGCCCAGACUCCUACGGGAGGCAGCAGUGGGGAAUAUUGCACAAUGGGCGGAAGCCUGAUGCAGCAACGCCGCGUGCGGGAUGACGGCCUUCGGGUUGUAAACCGCUUUCGCCUGUGACGAAGCGUGAGUGACGGUAAUGGGUAAAGAAGCACCGGCUAACUACGUG
rnacentral:rRNA from 1 species